GUCAGUGAUAGCUCUGAGAUUCGAAGCCGCCUUCGUUAACGAGGUCGCGAUCUAUACGAACAACUGCUACGGUAUAAUCUAACCAGAAGCUUGAAGCGGCUCAGUGGAUCUGAGCCGAGUCGCGAUGGCGACUAUAGAAGAAGAUGGUGUGGACAUCUUCCCUGAAGGCACGGCGCACUGCGCGAAUAUUUAUUCUCCGAGCGUCACUGACUCGACUCAAGUACGGCUGUUGCGGGCACGGAAUGAUAUUCGUCAGCGCUUCGGAAUUUGGCUGAACCUCCCCUGACCCAUUGGCUUCACGAGGCUCCGAACUACAGACAAGCCCCGCAUCGUGGGGCCCAUGACAACGGCGUACGUAACAGCUUUACUUGACCACGGCGACUUUAGCGAAGAUGGCUUCUAAUACACGUCAAGUGCGCAAUUCGGUUUAUAUUGGAUAUUCUACGUAGUUAUAUAAUCUCAAUAGAUCUGAUAUACGUAAGUGCGCAUUUAUAAAUACCAAAUAUACGUUACGUACGUUUCGCCUUGUGUUUCUCGGGGCACUAAGGCGCGGUAUCUUCUGUUUGGGCUCGCUGUAUAGUUCUCGAUCACGAAGAGUUUUGCCUUAUUGGGAAAAAGUUGAAUGCUGUAACAUCUAUCGAUAGGCUUAUUAGCGAUCCCUCGACGGUGGUAAAAAAGGUAAGUGACGGUGUACAAGGCACGAGUUAUGCGAACGGUAACAGAUUGGUUAUUUUUUAAAUGAAAAGUAGACAUAGUAGGGAGACAGAAGAUAAUAUAUCACUAAGCCGCGCCAAGACUUAACGUCUGCACGUUUUAUAUUUAUGUUGUUCUAUUCUCACAAAGCGAUGAGUACUAGUUACUAGUACUGGACUAAAUUAUCUAAAUAUUAAUUAAUUUUCUUGUCAAAUAAUUUGGGAACUGUCUUUUACCUAAACUAAAACUUAAUAGAUUGUAUAGUGAAAUAAUUCAUGCCAUGGCGAUUAAGCGUUUGCAACAUAUUUCAAUAGAGCAUUCAAAUUGUAAGUUGCACCCACACUAAACAUAUGUAACUUCGACCGACAUAGAUGCGCAUUUAUGGAAAUAAUAGUAAUUUUACAUGUUUAUGGUAUAUACAUCUCCCUGUGUGUAUUUCGAAGGCAUUUAUCUUAAUAUUACGACAACGGUUAACAGCAGCACGCACACAGGUGAAGAUUUUGUAUUAAUCUAUUAAUAUAGGAUAUAGAUGCUUACGUUUUCACAGUCGAAAGAACCGGUUGAGAGAUACUGUACAUCGCAUAUACAUCUGACCUUUAUACCUUUAUUGUUACCUGUAUAGUUGCAAUAGAAGGACGCUUACCACAAAAUAAAAUAUUAUAAAGAGAGUGACAUACUUCCUCCGAUUCUUUCGAUAGGUGUUAAUGCCUCACGCCAUAUUUCAGACGAAAUGUCUAAGGGAAAGAUUUGGGAAACGUGUUUUAAGAGAACGGAAUAUAUACUCUGGAUGAGAUUAGAUAAUGUGAUGGCAUAUUGGAUGCUUAAGAUGGUGCAAGUUAGCUGUAGUUGAAAAUGACUGUUGGAUCGACUAUUUUAUUUUUACAUGAUUGCGUUAAGUCCUUUUAUUAAGAGUCUAAAUGUUCGAAAAACUGUUUCAUUGACACCUUUGCUGUGACGUUAUGCAAUUUAUUUUGACCAAUCGAAUUAGACUAAAUUACGUGGUACUUGGACUUUACAAUUAAAAACACAUGUUUGUCUUAUUUACAAUUUAUUAUAUUUUACGUCAAGGAAAACUCGCAUAGCAACAAUUACGACAGACAUUUAAUGCAAAGAAGUAGGUCAUUCGCGAAACCCGAGACCGUUAAUGUUGGUAUUCAUCGGUAUGGGAGAUCUUAGUAUGUAUUUUCAAGUACGAGAGGGGGGUAUCGCGUUAUUAGCUACUUCUAAAGCAUAUAAGCAGUUGUUAGUCGUAGGUGACAUGAUUGGACGGACUAUUAUAAUUAUUCGCCAUAUUUACAUUUAUACACAAAUAUUUACCAAUAUAUGUGUCGUAUUUUUGAGAUGUUUGUUCAUGAUUCAUGGCAGCCGCGAAAGCAAAACAGUCAUGAGCAAAUCGUGUUUUUUUAUACAUACGAAUACAAUGAGAAGUGGUAGGACGGAUACGGAGAGGGAUUGAUACAAUGACUCGAUGCUGCCAAUAAUGUUUGUAGGUCGAAGCGUGGACGGCUGUGUCGGACCAUUGUAUGAAUUACAUGCCCUCAGUGCGGAUCGUAUGAACAAAGCGAAACUCAUAAACCUCAAUAAAAGCAAUAAACUUUAUGUGUAUUUCGUUCGGAUUACUUUUACCAUUCAUAAUAUAUUAUGACAGCAACCUAGAAACUACCUCAUUGUGCUCACUAUUAGGUUUCAGGAUCUCCUCCACCACCACCCUGGUCAAUACUCCUUUUCACGGCUAUUUGGAGGUGAUCUUAGAACCUGGAUGCGCUUUAUAAAUAAACAUUAUUUUUAUAACGAUUCUCACUCCACUUACGACAACAUCCGGAGUGAUACACGACUAGAGUCGUAUGAAUCGUUGAGUAGUUUUAAGAGUCAACGUAGUAUUCUAUAAACAAGCAAUAUUAUACAAAUUCAUAGUUUUUUUCGUAGUUUUAGAUCUAAACACGACGCGGGCGCGUUUUAUUUCGACAUUAUGAUUAUUUUCGAUUUCUUCUUACCUCACCGCUUUUAUUUAAAUAAAUUAACGAGAUAUAUUUUUAUUUCAUUUUCAAGUAGUACCGGCGCCGUGUUUACGCAGUAAAUUAGCGAUGAUCAAAGAUUACGUGCCUUAAAAAGGAAAUAUGAUUUUAGAUAGUGCUUUGUUUAUGUAUGUGUACAAACUGCGUUUAGAAACGAUACACGAUGUAUUUAUUUAUCAAAUAUACCGCCUUUGUUGGAUUUAUUAUUUAUUUAACAUCUGUAUCGUCGUUUGUACACAGACAAUGCACACCGUUACUAGUAAGUGAUAAGGCGAAUAUUAUGGUAUGCUAUGCGAGUUCCUCUGCAAUAGUCGGUAGCCGACUGACUCCGGACGUGAUUCAUACCGCGGACUUGACUUUAUGACACUUUUCGUUUUCACAAUCAUAAUCGAAAAUUAAAGUUAAUGUACCACCUAGGGCCGGACGAGAGCUUCUGAUAUUCUCGAUGUCACGAGGUCGAAUCUACUCAAGUAACAACUCUUACACCGUGUAAUCGAGGACAUUUAAAUCUCUCAGUACUAAUCGGAUAGCAGUAGUAUUACACUUUAAUGGUAUUCUCGAUGUUUGAUGCUUUUUACUCAAUGUGUAGAUCAAAUCUAUAUUUAACAUCUCGCAGCUGAUCCGUUGACAGUUUCGUAGGUUCUCCGGAGUACUUAGAGUUAAUUACGUUGCGCGGUUUAGGAUUCGUAUUAUAUUAUAAUAGUGAAGGAAAAUAUUAUCAUCGAUUCGCGAUUCACCAUCCAGAGAGCCCGGAGACUUACCCAACUGUCAGUUAUAAUUUGGCCUUAUAUUUAGCCUGUAGGCUUAACUGCGGCGAACCUUUGAGUAACGGAGCACAUGAUGGUCAAUUUAAAUAUUAAUAUAUAAUUCACUUUGAGAUAUCUGAGCGACGUUUUGUUCACAUAUAUAAAUGACAUAUUAAUUCAAUUGACAAAAAUAAAUUCAUGAUAAGUUCUUACGUGCGAUCAUAAGUUGAUUGUUUUAUCAAGUCGUUUGAGGUUCUUUAAUAUGAGUCUGAUUUAAUACAAUCGGUUCGUCGGUGUCAUCUAACUGGAAGAACAGACAAUUUUAAAUCACUUCAGAUAUUUUUCCUUAGUAUAGUUUAAUGUCACAGUUUGAAUAGAUAUUUAGAAUGAAACAAAAAGACUAAUGAUGAAGCUUAAUGCUUGUAGUUUUAGCUAAGUGCGGCAUGCAUUACGAUUGAUAUUUGCAACUCACACGAAAACCGAAAACUCCGAGAACGUCACUCGUUGAGAAAUUAGAACCGAUGUUGUUAAUUGUUUUAUAUGACGCGUUUAUUUUGAUCAUUUUAUUUUAACGGUGAGAUGUCAAGAUGGAUUUUUCUGGUGUUUUGAAAUGAUGAACUUUUUAUGAGUAGGCACCUGCUUUAAGGAACGAUUUUUGGAGUGAAAUUACGUAUAGGUGCUAAUGAGCAGAGCAAACGAUGGAGUCUUGACAUUAGACUUCAUUUCCUUUAAAAUUAAUUUUGAUUACAUUCAGAUGACUUUAAUAAAUAUUUUUAAGUUCGAUCCGACAGAAUAUUUUUCGACACUGACAAUUGAUCCUUUCUUAAAACUAAAUUUAAUAGUUUCAUUUUUUGUAUUAAAUUCAUAAGAAAUGUAAUUCAUUGGCUACAUUGUUACGAAUUAUGUUAUUUGAUUGAAAUGUAUAUGAUGUGUUAUUUACUUAAAUUAAGUCACACAAAUACUGUAAGAAUAUUAAUAACACGUUCCGCUAUCACUGAUGUUAAGCACUUAUGUCUAUACCGACAGUAAUAUAGGAACGUUAUAUUCUUAUUCGCAUACAUAAUAAGGAUUGGGAAAUGUGAGCAAAGUAUCAGAACGAUUAGGAAUUCUAUAGAUAUCUUUUUUGAAAUAUUAUAAUAGAUAUGAAUAUGUAAUCUCAUAAUAUAAUGGUCGAGCAGCCCACGCUAGGGUUGUGUCAGCGAAAGGAGAUGAUGUCGCUGGAUGUUAGAAGAAAGAAUUUUUAGGGCUUAAGCCCUUUGCCGUGCGCGUCAGUUGCAUUAUGUUAUCUCUUGAUCAAUCAGGUCCCGACGGACUUGCAAGCGUUAAUGUGUUGCGACAGACCGUAUAGCAGGUGGCAUGUAGACCUAUACAAGAUUUCAUCGUUGUGAGCUCAUGCAAUUCAUAUAAAUAUCGACCUGAACCGUAUACAUCUACAUGUCACCUAAGUACCCAUUCGAGCCGAUGCGAGCUCUUUCUGAUUGUAUACCGUAAGUUCUUAAUACGUUGGAUCUUUCGAACGAUGAGGGGAAAUACGAAGGCAAAAUUAUACACACAUAAUAUUUGGAAAAGUAUGUCUAAAUAAUAGUGACAAAAGUGUCAUAUUACACAAUUGCUCUCUCAGGUUUAUCGGUCGGAUUUAUUUCCCCGCCGACACAACACAGCGUGGAGACUUAAGAUUAAUUAACUUAUAUAACCAUCUAUGUUCUAUGAUGUGUGUCUCUAGAGCUCUCCGACACUACACUGAAACUCACCUGCAAUGUUUCGACCGUUUUAUUCGUUUAAACAACGUUUGGACAUGUUUAUCUUACUUUAUAUCUAUGCUUGUUAAGGAACAGAUAACUUAAGUUGGUUUUUCUUAAAUUACCUAUGAAAACAAAAUUGUUUUUCUUGUCAAUUCAUUUAAUUUGUUUUCUACAUUUCAUUAUAUUUUAUAAUCCCGAAGUAUGUAUUUAGUAUAAGGAUUUUUCUCAAUUUAAUAUCUUAGUGUCUAUAAUCGACUUAGUAAAUAGGUAUAAAGGCUUUACUCACAAUGCGAUUUUGACUACAUCUAAAACAACUAAAAAACUGAAUUUCAAACUAAAACUUGUAGUUUCACGUGCAUUUUUAAAUAAGAGUAAACAUUUUGCAUUUUAACUUUAUAACUGAUAAUGCUUAUGGAA